rnacentral:rRNA from 1 species
GACGAACGCUGGCGGCGUGCUUGACACAUGCAAGUCGAGCGGUAAGGCCCUUUCGGGGGUACACGAGCGGCGAACGGGUGAGUAACACGUGGGUGACCUGCCCUCAGCUCUGGGAUAAGCCUGGGAAACCGGGUCUAAUACUGGAUAUGACUCCAUGACGCAUGUUGUGGGGUGGAAAGCCUUGUGCGGCUGAGGAUGGGCCCGCGGCCUAUCAGCUUGUUGGUGGGGUGAUGGCCUACCAAGGCGACGACGGGUAGCCGGCCUGAGAGGGCGACCGGCCACACUGGGACUGAGACACGGCCCAGACUCCUACGGAGGCAGCAGUGGGAAUCUUGCGCAAUGGGCGAAAGCCUGACGCAGCGACGCCGCGUGAGGGAUGACGGCCU